rnacentral:rRNA from 1 species
UACGAAGGGGGCUAGCGUUGUUCGGAAUCACUGGGCGUAAAGGCGCGUAGGCGGCUUUGUAAGUCGGGGGUGAAAGCCUGUGGCUCAACCACAGAAUUGCCUUCGAUACUGCAUGGCUUGAGACCGGAAGAGGUAAGUGGAACUGCGAGUGUAGAGGUGAAAAUUCGUAGAUAUUCGCAAGAACACCAGUGGCGAAGGCGGCUUACUGGUCCGGUUCUGACGCUGAGGCGCGAAAGCGUGGGGAGCAAACAGGG